AUUUUCCUCUGUUUUUUCAGAGAGCCCAGGCGCCUGGCCUCCAUUUUCCUGUUCUUUCAGAGAGCGCAGGCAGAAGCUAUUAUCAUCAAAAGUGAGUUUAAGACUAGUGAGCCUCCCUUGCCACCUGGGUCUCACCUCUCCUGAGGACAUGCUUUGCUUUUUGUCAUCACAGGACCAUCAUCUCUAAGAUGUUAGGGACUGUAUUUUGCAUCUAUCUCCAGCCCUGAAGCAGUACCCAGAAGUACCUUGUGCUGUAUGGAAGCUGUCAGCUACAUGUGGGAUUUUGGAUGUUAGAAUCAUGAGGCUUUUGUUUAAGAGUUGCUUAAGAUGUUCUUCAGAUCCUGAAUUCCAGCAGAACAGCUGACAUCCACAAUCAGUUUGAGGAUCCCCACAGAAGAGCUGAAUCAACAUGAGAAUGCAGUUUCUUCAUCUCUCCAGUCCAUGACUUCUCCCUUCAAUCCCCACACCUCAGCCCACUCCAAACCCCUUACAAACUCCUCAGGGAGUCCAACAGGACUUAAGUGUGGCAGAUAUUGUUGACCGCCUGUCAGCAGCCAGUUCUUCCCACGUUGUUUAUCAACAGAAUCCGGAUUUGGUUGCCCUCACCAUGGCCACAUGCUCAGUGAAGGAGCCCCUCCUCAGCACCAAAGGGGUAGUUCCCCAGAGGAAAAGUGGGACACUGUUACCAGAAGGAAAGCAAAUGGACACUGUCUAAAUAAUGAUAACAGAUAUUCAUUACACUUCCUGGUAAAAGAAAAUAAAGGAUAGUGAAUAUAGGAUGAAGACGUUUGAGAAAACUGUGGAACAUCCAAGGGGAGAUGCAUAGGGAUGAUUCUGAACAUCCUGGAGCUCAGGAGAAAGAUGUGGGCUGAAGAUACAAAUUUAAGAGUCAUCAUUAAGCUGGAUGUGAUGGCUCACACCUAUAAUACCAGUGCUUUGGGAAGCCGACGGGGGAGGAUGCCUUGAG